CUCUAAUGUGUAGAGCUCAAGAUGGACACUGACUAGCAAUAUGACCUAACUUGUUGCACUUGAAGCAUUGAGUUCCUGAACUGCUUCCUCUUAGGUUCUCUACAAAGGCUCCUUUACCUUUAUCAUCCUUUCUUAGUGGGGGACCAAUAGGUGAGGAAUGAUUGGUUGGGAUCUGAUUAUAACCAGAACAAGAUGUCUGAUUAAAGUUAGAUCUAAGACCAAGAAUACCAGGUUUAUGUGACUCAAGUUCUCAGAUUAUCGAUAUCCUUUGAAAGAAGGUAACAGAUGGAUCUUCACUAAUAAUUUGAUGAAUACCUUAUGCGAUAGAGUCAAAUUCUCUCC
rnacentral:lncRNA from 1 species